rnacentral:rRNA from 1 species
GACGAACGCUGGCGGCGUGCUUAACACAUGCAAGUCGAGCGGUAAGGCCCUUUCGGGGGUACGACGAGCGGCGAACGGGUGAGUAACACGUGGGUGACCUGCCUCUAGCUCUGGGAUAAGCCUGGGAAGCUGGGUCUAAUACCGGAUAUGACCUCGCGGUGCAUGUUGCGGGGUGGAAAGCCUUGUGCGGCUAGGGAUGGGCCCGCGGCCUAUCAGCUUGUUGGGUGGGGUGANGGCCUACCAAGGCGACGACGGGUAGCCGGCCUGAGAGGGCGACCGGCCACACUGGGACUGAGACACGGCCCAGACUCCUACGGGAGGCAGCAGUGGGGAAUCUUGCGCAAUGGGCGAAAGCCUGACGCAGCGACGCCGCGUGAGGGAUGACGGCCU